rnacentral:piRNA from 1 species
UAGAAGGUGCUCAGGAAACACUGGUGGG